AUGUCUGGGAAACAUCCACAUACAAUUCUCACCGAUGAAGAUGCAGCAAUGGCAAAGGCAAUCUGUAAAGUGUUCCCUUAUUCUCACCAUAGACUUUGCGUCUGGCAAAUGAAUCAAAAUACUUGCAAGCAUCUUGCUGGAGUUGUUGAUGAAUAUAAGAAAUUCAAUGUUAAUUUUCAAUAUUGUAUAUAUGAUAUAGAAGAUGAAGAUGAAUUUGUAAGUGCAUGGAAUAAAAUGAUUGACAACACUACCCAACAAAGUGAAAGCAUGAACAAUGAACUAAAGAAGUACAUUAGUGUUAAAUAUGACAUGCUUACUUUCUUUGAGCAUUUUGAACGCUAG
rnacentral:rRNA from 1 species